GAUGAACGCUAGCGGCAGGCCUAACACAUGCAAGUCGAGGGAGAAGCCCUUCGGGGCAGAAACCGGCGCACGGGUGCGUAACGCGUAUGCAACCUACCUUUCACAGGGGGAUAGCCCGAAGAAAUUUGGAUUAAUACCCCAUAAUAUUAUUGGAUGGCAUCAUUUGAUAAUUAAAAUUACGAUGGUGAAAGAUGGGCAUGCGUCCUAUUAGCUAGUUGGAGUGGUAACGGCACCCCAAGGCUACGAUAGGUAGGGGUCCUGAGAGGGAGAUCCCCCACACUGGUACUGAGACAGGGACCAGACUCCUACGGGAGGCAGCAGUGAGGAAUAUUGGUCAAUGGUCGGAAGACUGAACCAGCCAUGCCGCGUGCAGGAAGAAUGCCUUAUGGGUUGUAAACUGCUUUUAUAUGGGAAGAAUAAGGAGUACGUGUACUUUGAUGAACGGUACCAUAUAAUAAAGC
rnacentral:rRNA from 1 species